GGUUGCAGCACGGGGGUCCCUUCGGGGGGGGCGCAGUAGGGAAUCUUCCACAAUGGACGCAAGUCUGAUGGAGCAACGCCGCGUGAGUGAAGAAGGUUUUCGGAUCGUAAAGCUCUGUUGUUGGUGAAGAAGGACAUGGGUAGUAACUGAUCUCUGUUUGACGGUAAUCAACCAGAAAGUCACGGCUAACUACGUGCCAGCAGCCGCGGUAAUACGUAGGUGGCAAGCGUUGUCCGGAUUUAUUGGGCGUAAAGCGAACGCAGGCGGGAGAACAAGUCAGCUGUGAAAGCCCUCGGCUUAACCGAGGAACGGCAACUGAAACUGUUUUUCUUGAGUGCAGAAGAGGAGAGUGGAACUCCAUGUGUAGCGGUGAAAUGCGUAGAUAUAUGGAAGAACACCAGUGGCGAAGGCGGCUCUCUGGUCUGUAACUGACGCUGAGGUUCGAAAGCAUGGGUAGCGAACAGGAUUAGAUACCCUGGUAGUCCAUGCCGUAAACGAUGAGUGCUAAGUGUUGGGAGGUUUCCGCCUCUCAGUGCUGCAGCUAACGCAUAAGCACUCCGCAUGGGAGGUCG
rnacentral:rRNA from 1 species